rnacentral:lncRNA from 7 species
UAAUUCCUCACUUUAGUGUUAAUAUUGCUACUCUUCAGUCCUUCAGACAUAUGAGAAAUAAAAUAAUUCCCUGACCAUUUUAGCCACAACAGUUUGCAGUCCUGAGGAACACGAGGACCACCAGCUUUGUUGGACCUGGACACAAAAAUCCAUUCAACAUUAAUGCCUCUUGUGAGCAGAUCAAGAAUGCCUAUGCAUCCGUGUCAAGAACCAAGGCUCACUGGCUUAUGCAAUAUCCUGGCAUGUUAAGAAGUCAUUACCUCCUCCUACACACAGUUCACAAGACACAAUGCAACAGGUGGAUGAAAGACAUGUUAUGUGGGGGUGUUUUGGAAAAAUGAGGCAACAAUGAACCAAAGAGGACAGUGGAAAAGCAGCAGUCAUUUUGCCACCUACUUUUAUGGUGCUGCUACACAGAAACUCUGACGCCACCAUAAGCCAUGUAGUACUCUUCCAAAAAUAAUGGCCAUCUCAUCCAGUGAGCAUGAAGGACGGCUGGCUGUUCCUGUCCCUGUGCCCAAAUGAGAAAGAAGAAACGUGGAACAUCUACCUGCAGAAAUGAUUGGUGAAAGCACUGUCAUAGGCAGUGAAUGUACUGAACAAACAGCCAGAAUGUCACCCGAGACACCAAGUUGGGUCAACUGUUUUCUGCUAGAAAUAAAUACUUUCACUG